GUCUCUCGGAGGACCCUCACGUCGGCCGUGGACUGCACACUGUACGUAUCAUAUCCGCUCGUCAGAUACGCUACCGCCACCGCCGCUGAGUUCCGGUCUCGUCCCCCACCGCGACGCGCCCUCUCCGCAGCUCUCGCCCUUUGCCCACGCCCCGGGCUCAGCAGCAGCAUCAGCAUGAUCAAUACACGUCGGCCGCCGCACCGAGAUUCGCAGCCACCACCGCCGUCGCCGCCGCCGCCGCCACCCUGCUAGCUCCCCCUAAUCGGGCGACCGCCCUUCGGCCAAGGUCAGAGGUACGUUCGCUUUACAUCCCUCGUCGCGUCCGGACGCCACCAACUCGCUGAUUCGUUUCCGGCGGGCGACCGAACGAUCGCAAACUUGUCGCAAUACAACAUUUAUACAAUCAGGCUUACGUACGAAGAUCACAUUUUUGUUUUUUUUGCCGACUAUACUCUUGUACUGCGUAUAAGCUCACACAUUAUUACUAUUACUAUUACUUUUAUUAUUAUUCUCGUUUUUCCCGUCGUUUACAGCUCACUCGCCGCCGCCCGCCGUGGUCCAUCUGCACGUCAACGGUCACAUCAGCAAUGUAACGCAUCCGUGAUCUACCCUGUAGAUCCGGGCUUUUGUAGAAUAAUCGAUACGUUCAGAAGCUCGUCUCUACAGGUAUCUUACGGAUGGAAGUUUACCCCGACCAGCGGCGGCAGCACAUUGGACGGACGGAAGACACGACUUUAAGUUCUACAGUUUAUUACGAGUACCCAACAGUACAAUAUAUUAUUAUUAUUAGUUGAUUCAAGAACGCACUUUGAGCGAUAACAUUCACCGCAUUCCAUGACGACGUCAAAGGUAGAUAUGAA